GAUGAACGCUGGCGGCGUGCCUAACUCAUGCAAGUCGAACGAAGCACUUUAAAUAGAUUUCUUCGGAAUGAAGUUUUUGUGACUUAGUGGCGGACGGGUGAGUAACGCGUGGGUAACCUGCCCAGUACUGGGGGACAACAGUUGGAAACGACUGCUAAUACCGCAUAAGCCUACGGUGUCGCAUGACACAGUAGGAAAAAUUCCGGUGGUACUGGAUGGGCCCGCGGCGGAUUAGCUAGUUGGUAAGGUAAUGGGUUACCAAGGCGACGAUCAGUAGCCGGCUUGAGAGAGUGAACGGCCACAUUGGGACUGAGACACGGCCCAAACUCCUACGGGAGGCAGCAGUGGGGAAUAUUGCACAAUGGGGGAAACCCUGAUGCAGCAACGCCGCGUGAGUGAAGAAGUAUUUCGGUAUGUAAAGCUCUACCAGCAGGGAAGAUAAUGACGGUACCUGACUAAGAAGCACCGGCUAAAUACGUGCCAGCAGCCGCCGUAA
rnacentral:rRNA from 1 species